GAAAAUAAUAAAAGUUACUUCAUCUUCUUCCCUUUCUCCCUUCCCCCCUUCUCCAUCUCUGCAAUAUCUCCAUUAACGAACAACGACAAAAGCUCUAGUACCAAGCAAUUGAACAUUCUCAACGUGUCCAACACCCAAUAGCUAAGUUAGUCCAGUAAGUCUUUCAUCUAAAUUGCCUUACUUUCGGUUGUUAUUACCCAAACUUUUCCCAACUAGGGUUUUCUGUGUUGUAGAAAUCGAGGAGAUCAUGUCACAAUUGAGACGACCCCCUCCGAAGGACGAGUUCAGCUACGAUGAUGAAGAAGUGUUGUGCCAUUGCGGCUUGAGGGCUUUGAGGCGUAUUUCGCACACGUCCAGGAACCCCGGAAAGAAGUUUUGCGUCUGCCCCCGAUAUGUCUCCCAAGGUCAAAAAGGAUGUGGGUACUUCGAUUAGUACGAGGUGACGGUAGCUGCACUCAAAGACAAGCAAGAGCUAGGUGAAAUGGUGGACAGGCUGCAGGUGAACGUCUGAAAACUUGAACAAGCCAACCUAAAGUUGAAGUAAACAAUUAGAGUGGUUUGUUUGGAAAAGGAAGAUGAAGUUUGCUGGGCAUCCAAUCUGUCAAAUCGAAUGGACUAUGACACUGUUGGUGAGUUGGAAAUGCUGAAAUACAAGGUUGGUUUACUUGAGAGAAGGGGGUGUUGUAGAUAUGGCAAUAUAAACUGAGGGGUGCUAUGAUUUUAUGUAUCGAUUGUAGGGUUUGUUGCAUUGUUGAAUGUAUGUCUACUAUUAUUGUGCUAUGUAUUGGGUUUAGAGUUAUGAUUUAGAGUGAACAUCUUGUUUAUGCCACAACUAUAGUUCUAG
rnacentral:lncRNA from 1 species